UACGGGGGGAGCAAGCGUUGUUCGGAUUUACUGGGCGUAAAGGGCGCGUAGGCGGCAUGCCAAGCGUGUGGUGAAAGCCCGGGGCUCAACCCCGGGUCGGCCGUGCGGACUGGCGUGCUCGAGCACUGUAGGGGCGGGUGGAAUUCCGGGUGUAGCGGUGGAAUGCGUAGAGAUCCGGAAGAACACCGGUGGCGAAGGCGGCCCGCUGGGCAGGAAGACACCGCAAGGUGUCGGCUGACGCUGAGGCGCGACAGCGUGGGGAGCAAACAGG
rnacentral:rRNA from 1 species